AAGUCGUAACAAGGUCUCCGUUGGUGAACCAGCGGAGGGAUCAUUAGCGAGUUACCGCAAAACUCCAUAACCCUUUGUGAACCUACCUACUGUUGCCUCGGCGUCGCGCUGCGGCUGACGCCCGCCCCUACCCGCCCUACCCGGGAGAGGAGGGGGCGGGCCUCAGCCGGCUGAACCAGCCCGCCAAAGGACCUACAAACCAAACCCUAAAUCAAACGUACCUUCUGAAGAAUAAAAAAAAGAAUCAACUUUGAAACUUAAAUAAGUCAAAACUUUCAACAACGGAUCUCUUGGCUCUGGCAUCGAUGAAGAACGCAGCGAAAUGCGAUAAGUAAUGUGAAUUGCAGAAUUCAGUGAAUCAUCGAAUCUUUGAACGCACAUUGCGCCCGCCAGCAUUCUGGCGGGCAUGCCUAUCCGAGCGUCAUUACGACCCUUAAGCCCCCCGGGCUUAGCGUUGGGAUUCCGCGCCUUCCGGGGCGCGGUUCCCUAAAGCCAUCGGCGGCGCCGCGGCUCCACUUCUGAGCGUAGUAAUCUACAGUUCCUCGCCCCUGAAGUGGCCGCGGCCGCCUGCCGCAAAACCCCACCAACUCUCAGUGGUUGACCUCGGAUUAGGUAGGGAUACCCGCUGAACUUAA
rnacentral:rRNA from 1 species